CUCGGAAAUGCUGAUUGCCAUAGAUGCUGGAAACAAGGAGGGGCUUAGGCAGGAGAUCAUUGUUGACUUGGUAGAGCAGUGCUGCACCUACAAGCAGAGAGUGGUGCACCUUGUAAAUUCAACAUUGGAUGAAUCACUUCUACGUCAAGGAUUAGCUUUGAAUGAUGACUUGCAGCGUGUACCUGCCAAGCAUGGAGUCAUUGCUUCUGGAACUUCAGUUUAGGCUGA